rnacentral:rRNA from 1 species
CCUACGGGAGGCAGCAGUGGGGGAUAUUGCACAAUGGGGGAAACCCUGAUGCAGCGACGCCGCGUGUGGGAAGACGGUCCUCUGGAUUGUAAACCACUGUCCCCAGGGACGAAGAUGACGGUACCUGACUAAGAAGCCCCGGCUAACUACGUGCCAGCAGCCGCGGUAAUACGUAGGGGGCAAGCGUUAUCCGGCUUUACUGGGUGUAAAGGGAGCGUAGACGGCAGCGCAAGUCUGGAGUGAAAUGCCGGGGCCCAACCCCGGAACUGCUUUGGAAACUGUGCAGCUCGAGUGCAGGAGAGGUAAGCGGAAUUGCUAGUGUAGCGGUGAAAUGCGUAGAUAUUAGGAGGAACACCAGUGGCGAAGGCGGCUUACUGGACUGUAACUGACGUUGAGGCUCGAAAGCGUGGGGAGCAAACAGGAUUAGAUACCCCUGUAGUC